AACGAACGCUGGCGGCAUGCCUAACACAUGCAAGUCGAACGAUUGCCUUCGGGUGAUAGUGGCGCACGGGUGCGUAACGCGUGGGAAUCUGCCCUUAGGUUCGGAAUAACAGCUGGAAACGGCUGCUAAUACCGGAUGAUAUCGCGAGAUCAAAGAUUUAUCGCCUGAGGAUGAGCCCGCGUUGGAUUAGGUAGUUGGUGGGGUAAAGGCCUACCAAGCCGACGAUCCAUAGCUGGUCUGAGAGGAUGAUCAGCCACACUGGGACUGAGACACGGCCCAGACUCCUACGGGAGGCAGCAGUGGGGAAUAUUGGACAGUGGGCGCAAGCCUGAUCCAGCAAUGCCGCGUGAGUGAUGAAGGCCGUAGGGUUGUAAAGCUCUUUUACCCGGGAAGAUAAUGACUGUACCGGGAGAAUAAGCCCCGGCUAACUCCGUG
rnacentral:rRNA from 1 species